AUUGAACGCUGGCGGCAGGCCUAACACAUGCAAGUCGAGCGGUAGCACAGGGAGCUUGCUCCUGGGUGACGAGCGGCGGACGGGUGAGUAAUGUCUGGAAAACUGCCUGAUGGAGGGGGAUAACUACGGGAAACGGUAGCUAAUACCGCAUAACGUCGCAAGACCAAAGAGGGGGACCUUCGGGCCUCUUGCCAUCAGAUGUGCCGAGAUGGGAUGAGCUAGUAGGUGGGGUAAUGGCUCACCUAGGCGACGAUCACUAGCUGGUCUGAGAGGAUGACCAGCCACACUGGAACUGAGAAACGGUCCAGACUCCUACGGGAGGCAGCAGUGGGGAAUAUUGCACAAUGGGCGCAAGCCUGAUGCAGCCAUGCCGCGUGUAUGAAGAAGGCCUUCGGGUUGUAAAGUACUUUCAGCGGGGAGGAAGGUGUUGAGGUUAAUAACCUUAGCAAUUGACGUUACCCGCAGAAGAAGCACCGGCUAACUCCGUGCCAGCCGCCGCAUAA
rnacentral:rRNA from 1 species